CCUACGGGAGGCAGCAGUGAGGAAUAUUGGUCAAUGGUCGGGAGACUGAACCAGCCAAGCCGCGUGAGGGAAGAAGGUACUGUGUAUCGUAAACCUCUUUUGUCAGGGAACAAAGGCGCGGACGUGUCCGCGGAUGAGUGUACCUGAAGAAAAAGCAUCGGCUAACUCCGUGCCAGCAGCCGCGGUAAUACGGAGGAUGCGAGCGUUAUCCGGAUUUAUUGGGUUUAAAGGGUGCGUAGGCGGUCUGUAAAGUCAGCGGUAAAAGCCUGGGGCUCAACCCCGGCCAGCCGUUGAAACUGGCAGUCUCGAGUUGGAGAGAAGUAUGCGGAAUGCGCGGUGUAGCGGUGAAAUGCAUAGAUAUCGCGCAGAACUCCGAUUGCGAAGGCAGCAUGCCGGCUCCACACUGACGCUGAGGCACGAAAGCGUGGGUAUCGAACAGGAUUAGAUACCCCAGUAGUC
rnacentral:rRNA from 1 species